GCUAAAAUCUUUUAUGUGUGCUAA
rnacentral:siRNA from 1 species